rnacentral:rRNA from 1 species
CACGCAGGCGAUCUUGCCAGUCAGGGGUGAAAGCCCGGGGCUCAACCCCGGAACUGCCUCUGAUACUGCAAGACUAGAGACUAGGAGAGGGUGGUGGAAUUCCCAGUGUAGAGGUGAAAUUCGUAGAUAUUGGGAGGAACACCAGAGGCGAAGGCGGCCACCUGGACUAGAUCUGACGCUCAGGUGCGAAAGCGUGGGGAGCAAACA